AACGAACGCUGGCGGCAGGCCUAACACAUGCAAGUCGAACGGACGUAGCAAUACGUUAGUGGCGCGCGGGAGAGUAACGCGUGGGAACCUACCUUUUGGUUCGGGAUAACAUCGGGAAACUGGUGCUAAUACCGGAUAAGCCCUUCGGGGGAAAGAUUUAUUGCCGAAAGAUGGGCCCGCGUUGGAUUAGCUAGUUGGUGAGGUAAUGGCUCACCAAGGCAACGAUCCAUAGCUGGUCUGCGAGGAUGAUCAGCCUCACUGGGAAUGAGAAACAGCCCAGCCUCCUACGGGGGGCAGCAGUGGGGAAUAAUGGACAAUGGGGGAAACCCUGAUCCAGCCAUGCCGCGUGAAGGAUGAAGGCCUUCGGGUUGUAAAGUUCUUUUGGUGGGGACGAUGAUGACGGUACCCACAGAAUAAGCUCCGGCUAACUUCGUGCCAUCCGCCGCUGUAAAAC
rnacentral:rRNA from 1 species